GUGCCUGGUGUGGUGCGCCAAAGCCGAAAGGUGAUACGGUGGUGCUACCGUGGCUUGUCCACGCGGGCUACCUGUCAACGUGGCGGCACGCCAUUGGUGUUAGUAACUUGCCACGACGUGUCCAAGCACAGACUGUUGCGUUUUGAUGUCAGAUUUGUGGGUAAUCUUUUCUCACUUUUUAUUCAUUCUGCACGUUAUAUUCGUCACUAUUAUUGUCUCUAUAAUUUUAAAUAUGAAAUGUAAACAUAAUGGUACAUAAUGCAAAAAAAAA
rnacentral:lncRNA from 7 species